rnacentral:tRNA from 1 species
UAUUUUAUAGUUUAUUAUAAAACAUUAAAUUGCAAAUUUAAAGAUAUUAAUAAAAUAAUUAAAAUAU